rnacentral:rRNA from 1 species
CCUACGGGUGGCAGCAGUCGAGAAUCAUUCACAAUGGGGGAAACCCUGAUGGUGCGACGCCGCGUGGGGGAAUGAAGGUCUUCGGAUUGUAAACCCCUGUCAUGUGGGAGCAAAUUAAAAAGAUAGUACCCCAAGAGGAAGAGACGGCUAACUCUGUGCCAGCAGCCGCGGUAAUACAGAGGUCUCAAGCGUUGUUCGGAAUCACUGGGCGUAAAGCGUGCGUAGGCUGUUUCGUAAGUCGUGUGUGAAAGGCGCGGGCUCAACCCGCGGACGGCACAUGAUACUGCGAGACUAGAGUAAUGGAGGGGGAACCGGAAUUCUCGGUGUAGCAGUGAAAUGCGUAGAUAUCGAGAGGAACACUCGUGGCGAAGGCGGGUUCCUGGACAUUAACUGACGCUGAGGCACGAAGGCCUGAGGAGCGAAAGGGAUUAGAUACCCGAGUAGUC